UACGAAGGGGGCUAGCGUUGCUCGGAAUUACUGGGCGUAAAGCGUGCGCAGGCGGUUCUUUAAGACAGAUGUGAAAUCCCCGGGCUCAACCUGGGAACUGCAUUUGUGACUGUAGAGCUGGAGUGCGGCAGAGGGGGAUGGAAUUCCGCGUGUAGCAGUGAAAUGCGUAGAUAUGCGGAGGAACACCGAUGGCGAAGGCAAUCCCCUGGGCCUGCACUGACGCUCAUGCACGAAAGCGUGGGGAGCAAACAGG
rnacentral:rRNA from 1 species